rnacentral:rRNA from 1 species
AUUAUUUAUAUAUGUUUAUUAUUAUUAAUUAUUUAAUUUUUUUUAUUAUUUUUUAAUAAAUCAUUUUAUUGUUUUUGUAUAUAGUUUAUGAUUUAAUUACUUUUAUUUUAGUUUAUUAGUACUUUAUUGGAAUUAUAUAUUUAUUUUUUAUAGUUAAUUUUAUUUGUUGUACCUUGUGUAUCAGGAUGUAUUGAAUUUAUAUAUAUAUAUAUAUUUCUCGAUUUUAUGGGAGUUAAUUAAUUAUUUUGAUUUAUUGUUGUAAACUUAUUUAUAAUAUUUAAUUAGUAAUGAAAUGUUAUUCGUUUAUAAUGGUUUCUAGUUUAUCAAGAAAUAAAUUUAAUUUAUAUAUUUUUUAUAAUUUGUUUUUUUUAAUGAGGUUUUAAUUUAUAUAAUUAUUUAGUGGGAUUAGCUUCUAAAUAUAUUAUUUAUAAUUUAUUUUUGUUUAAAUUUUAUGGGAUUAAUAGUGUCUAUUAUUUUGAUAAGGUAAAAUUUUUGUUUAGUUUUUGUAUUUAUUUAUUGUGAUUUAAAUUUUUUAUUGGUAGAAUCAAUUUAAUUUUUAUUUGUUUAUUAUAAUGAUGUAAUUAGUAUAUUUUUAUAUGUUAAUUGAAUUAUUAUUGUUUAUUUUAUUUAACUAAUUUGGCAAAUAUUUUAUUCGAUUGUUUAUCAAAAACAUUGUUUUUUGUUUAAUAUUGGAAAGUAAUACCUGCCCACUGAUGUUUUAAAUGGCCGCGGUAUUUUGACCGUGCAAAGGUAGCAUAAUAAUUAGUUUUUUUAUUGAGGACUGGAAUGAAUGGUUAAACGAGAUAUAGUCUGUUUCUUUUAUAAGUUUAGUUGAAGUUGAUUAUUGAGUUAAAAGGCUUAAAUUUUGUUAUGGGACGAGAAGACCCUAUAGAGUUUUACAUAAUUAUUUUUAUUUUUGUUAGUAAUUAAUUUUAAUUAUAUUUUUGUUUUAUUGGGGUGAUAGAAAGAUAAUUUUAACUCUUUUUUUAUUAAAUAUUUAUUUAUAGUUAUUUGAUCCAUUAUUAUUGAUUAUAAUACUAAAUUACCUUAGGGAUAACAGCGUUAUUUUUUUUGAGAGUUCAUAUUGACAUUAAAGAUUGCGACCUCGAUGUUGGAUUAAAAUUAAUUUUGGGUGUAGAAGCUUAAGUUAUUAAGUCUGUUCGACUUUUGAAAUUUUACAUGAUCUGAGUUCAAACCGGUGUAAGCCAGGUUGGUUUCUAUCUAUAAUUUUAUCUUAAAUGUUUUAGUACGAAAGGACCAAAUAUUUUAAAUAAUUUUUAUUAUAUAUAUAUAUUUAAU